CAAUUCCCAAAAGCUAGCCCCACCCCUAAAUACAACAACCAACAUUAAUAACCCCUUAAGCAUAACAACUUAUUAAACAAACCAUUUUACCCCCUUAGUAUGGGCGACAGAAAAGGAACAAGGCGCCAUAGAGAAAGUACCGCAAGGGAAUGCUGAAAGAGAAAUGAAACAACCCAGUAAAGAAACAAAAAGUAGAGACCUAACCUCGUACCUUUUGCAUCAUGAGCUAGUUAGCAACAUUCAAGCAAAGUGCCCUUUAGUUUGAACCCCCGAAACUCGGCGAGCUACUUCAAGACAGCCUAUUCAGGGCCAACCCGUCUCUGUUGCAAAAGAGUGGGAAGAUCUUUAAGUAGAGGUGACAGACCUACCGAGCCUAGUUAUAGCUGGUUGCCUACAAAAUGAAUAGGAGUUCAGCCCAUUAGAUUCUUAGUUCUAGCCUGCCUAAGGCCUCAGAGUGAUGUCAAGAAUUUUUUGGAGUUAUUCAAAAGGGGGACAGCCCGUUUGAAAACAGAUACAACUUUUAUAGAAGGCUAAAGAUCCAAAUACAGUAAAGCAAGAUACACUGGUGGGCCUAAAAGCAGCCAUCCAUAUAGAAAGCGUUAAAGCUCUAGUAUUCUUCUACUUAUAAUUUUGAUAUUACAAUCUUAAGCCCCUAAUUAUUCUAGUAGGCCUUUCCCUGCAAACAGGGAAGCGAUUCUGCUAGUAUGAGUAAUAAGAGGCCCAAGCCCCUCUCCUCGCACCUGUGUACAUCAGAACGAACAUGCACUGACAAAUAACACCCCCAACUAAAGAGGGCAUUGAGCCGUGCAAACUAAACAAGAAAAGAGCUCAAGGAAAAGUGUUAACCCCACACAGGAGUGCCAAAGGAAAGACCAAAGGAAAAAGAAGGAACUCGGCAAACACUGACCCCGCCUGUUUACCAAAAACAUCGCCUCUUGCUAUAAAAAUAUAAGAGGUCCCGCCUGCCCUGUGACUCACUAGUUUAACGGCCGCGGUAUUUUGACCGUGCGAAGGUAGCGUAAUCACUUGUCUUUUAAAUGAAGACCUGUAUGAAUGGCAUAACGAGGGUUAAGCUGUCUCCUUUUUCUAGUCAAUGAAAUUAAUCUUCCCGUGCAGAAGCGGGAAUACACCCAUAAGACGAGAAGACCCUAUGGAGCUUCAGACAAAAAGCAGCCCAGAGAGAGACAAAUGGAUAAACAAACUAACUCAGCUGGAGUCUGCUCUUAUGUCUUUGGUUGGGGCGACCGCGGAGGAGCAGAUAUCCUCCAUGAGGAACAGGGAUUUAGCCCUCAAAGCCAGAGCGACAGCUCCAGCUAACAGAAUUUCUGACCUAAAAGAUCCGGCAAGACCGAUCAACGGACCGAGUUACCCUAGGGAUAACAGCGCAAUCCCCUUCUAGAGCCCAUAUCGACAAGGGGGUUUACGACCUCGAUGUUGGAUCAGGACAUCCUAAUGGUGCAGCCGCUAUUAAGGGUUCGUUUGUUCAACGAUUAAAGUCCUACGUGAUCUGAGUUCAGACCGGAGAAAUCCAGGUCAGUUUCUAUCUAUGAAGUGCUCUUUUCUAGUACGAAAGGACCGAAAAGGGGAGGCCUAUGCUUGUGGCAUGCCUCACCCCUACCUAUUGUAGACAACUAAAAUAGGUAAAGGGGUGCACCCCCAUAGCAAAAGAAAAAGGCAA
rnacentral:rRNA from 1 species